GGGGGGGGAGCGAGCGCUCGCGGGCCCCGUGGUGGGUUCGGCUGCGCGGCGGGGCUGAGGCGGCCGCGAAGGUCCGAGCGCAGAAAGUGGACACUGGGUUCCUGAACCUCCUCACUGAAGACAGCCAGGCCUCAAGCACAGGGUAGAGUGGUGCUGCUUCUUGGAAAAAUUGAAAAAGCUCUCUGGACGACAGGGGCCCAAAGCUGAUGGCAGACAAUGUCAGCCACUAACAACAUAGCCCAGGCUCGGAAGCUGGUGGAGCAGCUCCGCAUCGAGGCCGGGAUCGAGCGCAUCAAGGUCUCCAAAGCCUCAUCUGAACUCAUGAGCUACUGUGAGCAGCACGCCCGGAAUGACCCCCUGCUCGUGGGAGUCCCUGCCUCCGAGAACCCCUUUAAGGACAAGAAGCCUUGUAUUAUCUUAUAGCUUUGUUUUCUUGCGCUCAACUCCUCCCCGACACCCAGCCUCCAGUCAGGGCGCCAUUCAGUACAGAGUCCAGCAAAACUCUUAAUUCCAAAAGAAAUGCAAAAAGUUGCCACUGCCCAGAUGGGUUAAGAUGGAUCCUCUGAUUUCAGAUGGAUUUUCAGACCCCGCAAUGCAGCCCCCUUAAGGGCCGGGCUUCUGCACCGCUUCCGAUUGGAAAUAACUGAAAUGCCCAAGUGGUGUGCUAACAGUUUUUGAAAACUGAGUUGACCUUUGGGUUGUGGCUCAGAGCCGAGCUGGGCCAGGGUAUGGGAAGGAGGUGGGUGAACUAGCCGCUGGCCUGGGCAACCCGGCCAGGUGGCAAGUCUCACACUGUUGGCCGUUUGUGAUGACUUCUGCCAGGUUGAUGAUGUGAUGCUUUUUUUUGGGGGGGGGGCUCUCAAGCAGAAAUGCAGCCUGGGGAGGCCUACGCAGUGAGUAGGGCUGCCUGGUGCUUCAGGGUGUAACAAGGUGUGAGAUUAUCUGGAAGUAGCUGUGAAGGCCGGGGAGUUCGAGAGACACUCUCAGUGCUCCCUCUGCACUAUCGCCCUACCACGUGGAGCGUCUUAUCUGCGGGAGGAAAUGAGAUGUGUCUCCCAACAUCCUUGGAAAUGUGAGGUCCUAGAGUUGACCGUUGGGGACAGGACAGAGGCUUUUUUACAAUUGCUGUUUCCUCUGUUGUGACAAGGACAGUUAAAGGAUGGGAGGCAGGAGGACAGGCCCAACGCACACCUGCCCUCACCUGCCAGCACUACCAACAGCUGCCGGGACUCCCGCCCUGAGCUCUGGGUCCAGCUGCCUGCAACCUGGGAGGAGGUCAGAAUCCCAGGCCUAGAAGGAGCAUCCUGGGCAGCCGGCAGAAGGCACUUGGGGCCAGGCCCAGAGCCCCGAGCUCCCCUCGUGCCCCUGGGUCUCAGACCUUGCAUGGCUGCACCUCGCAGCCGGCCCACACAGGGUGCAGACCAAGGCCAACUUUCUCCCUGGCAUCCAGCUCUCUCCGGCCGGUCCGGGAGCACCUGGGGCCUGGGGAGUCUGGCUUCUCUGAAGCAGCACUUGGGCGGGGAGGGUCCCCAAAGCCCCCCCACGAUGCUGCCCCCUCUCACUGCACAGGGAGCCUGCACUCUGACAGAGCAGCAGGACAAACGAAGCUCAUUCUAGAAACCCCGGGCAUGCCCAGUUGGGGGCAGGGCAUGGCGGGACUGAAGCCAAGGGGCAGAGGGGGGCAGCUGGCAGAGCGCAUCUGCCAGCGAGGACCCCCCCACCAGCUUUCUGCUGACUGGUAACUGUUUGGUCUGGGUCAGAAGCCUUAAUCCCUUGAGCCCAAGCCGGGGCCAUGCACUCCUGGCCCCCGAGAGCAGGAGGGGUCCUGAUCAGCGUCAGGAGAGCCCCAGGGCCCAGACCUCCCCUCUCUCUCCACCCCCUGCCCUGCCAGCUGUGCCAAGCCCAGCCCCACUGCGUGUCCCCACCCAAGUGACCCGAGCAGCCAGUGGGAAGCAAAGCCCAGGACCCCUGGCUGAGGGGUGGGAGGAACUUGAGUUCAGCGGCCACAUCGUCCCCUCCUGGGCCAGGGGUCCCCUAGUGGGAAUGCCAGGGGCCCAGCUGUCUUGGUAAACUGAGGCUCCUGGAAGGUUUGGACCACUGUCCUCCCCAUCCACCCACCCAAGGCCACCCCUGCCCAAGCACCACAGUCUCGGAGCCCGGGGGGGGCUGUCAGCAAGGCCCCACUCUGGGCUUCUUUCUAGCCAAGAAAAAGGGCCUCUUUCUUCCCUUCCUUUCCUCCUUGUAGAGUAAUCGUCAGUGUCCCUAAUGCAGGCUUGAAGCAUCAGUGCCCACGUGACAGUGUGUUCUGCUUGUGGUUUCCUUGUGCACGUGUCGGCAUGAAAACACGUUUUGAGGGUAUUUUGGCGGCCGUAAGUGCCCCCAUGAGGCCAGGAGUGGACCUUGGGGAAACCAGCAUGUCUCAAGCACGUCACAGGGGAGUGAAGGAAACACAAGAAGGCAGGGCUGGGUGACUUGGAGUCUCCCUCCUCCCACAGCCUCCUCUCCCCUCCCCCUUUCUCUCCCAAGGUGUCCCCCAGCCCGAGAAUUAAGUGACUGGGUUGUGACCUCUGGCCCACGGGAUGGGGACACAAACCUCUGGGCCGGGCAGAAGGUGCUCUUUCUUCCUUUGAUGUCCCGGCCACUCUGUCCAGACGUCGCUGGGCCUCCAGGCAGCUCAUCCAUCUCGAGCUGCAGGCAGGCAGGAAAAGGCCAUCGGACCCCUGAUCCCAGCAUGAGUGACCAGAGGCAGUUUCCGGGACACGGUGAGGCCACCAAAGGUCGCUCGUCCUUCAAGAGCCUAUGCGGGGUCCUCUGAAAAGAAGCCAUAUGUCAAUACCCUGCCCCUUCCUUCUCUGUCUGCAGAGACCAUUGCCAAACAUUGUCAAGACCAGUUCCAGUUCUCAGAGCAAACUGUGCUUCUAGCAGAUUCUACCCCAACUGUGUUUGGAUGUCCAGUGGUUUUUAUUUCUGAUUUUUAAAAAAAAAUUCCAGGUGUGCCAUACCCACUUUCCUGCAGUGUUUUAAUAUUGUGUGGAAUUGUUAAUACCAAGUGAAUUAAUCCACAAUAAAAAGGCUCACUGUCCCUUUC
rnacentral:lncRNA from 1 species